rnacentral:rRNA from 1 species
UGCCAGCAGCCGCGGUAAUACGUAGGUGGCAAGCGUUGUCCGGAAUUAUUGGGCGUAAAGCGCGCGCAGGCGGUUCCUUAAGUCUGAUGUGAAAGCCCACGGCUCAACCGUGGAGGGUCAUUGGAAACUGGGGGACUUGAGUGCAGAAGAGGAGAGCGGAAUUCCACGUGUAGCGGUGAAAUGCGUAGAGAUGUGGAGGAACACCAGUGGCGAAGGCGGCUCUCUGGUCUGUAACUGACGCUGAGGCGCGAAAGCGUGGGGAGCAAACAGGAUUGGAUACCCUGGUAGUCCACGCCGUAAACGAUGAGUGCUAAGUGUUAGAGGGUAUCCGCCCUUUAGUGCUGUAGCUAACGCAUUAAGCACUCCGCCUGGGGAGUACGCUCGCAAGAGUGAAACUCAAAGGAAUUGACGG